rnacentral:sRNA from 1 species
GUGUUGGGUUCGGGGGACGCUGGCAGCUGGGUUCUCUCGGUUCCCUUGGGCAGGUGCAGGGUCGGGUUCAAAGCCUCCGGAACGCGUUUUGGCCUGAUUUGAGGAGGGGGGCGGGGAGGGACCUGCGGCUUGCGGCCCCGCCCCCUUCUCCGGCUCGCCGCCGACCGAUAAGCCCGCCUCCUCCCUUGGCCGGCCCUGGGGCCGUGUCCCCCGGGCAACUCCAGCCAAGGCCUGGGCUUCUGCCUGCAGGUGUCUGCGGCGAGGCCGCUAGGGUACAGCCCGAUUUGGCCCCAUGGUAGGUUUCGGGGCCAACCGGCGGGCUGGCCGCCUGCCCUCUCUAGUGCUGGUGGUGCUGCUGGUGGUGAUCGUCGUCCUCGCCUUCAACUACUGGAGCAUCUCCUCCCGCCACGUCCUGCUUCAGGAGGAGGUGGCCGAGCUGCAGGGCCAGGUCCAGCGCACCGAAGUGGCCCGCGGGCGGCUGGAAAAGCGCAAUUCGGACCUCUUGCUGUUGGUGGACACGCACAAGAAACAGAUCGACCAGAAGGAGGCCGACUACGGCCGCCUCAGCAGCCGGCUGCAGGCCAGAGAGGGCCUCGGGAAGAGAUGCGAGGAUGACAAGAGUCUGGCUCUGUGGCCCAGGCUGAAGUGCAGUGGUGCGAUCUCCGCUCACUGUAAGCGCUGCCUCCCAGGUUCACGCCAUUCUCCUGCCUCACCCUCCCGAGUAGCUGGGACUAUAGGAGCCUACCACCACGCCCGGCUAAUUUUUUGUAUUUUUAGUAGAGACGGGGUUUCACAGUGUUAGCCAGGAUGGUCUCUAUCUCCUGACCUCGUGAUCUGCCCACCUUGGCCUCCCAAAGUGCUGGGAUUACAGGCAUCAGCCACCGCGCCCAGCCCACAUGAUACUAAUUCUCAACAGGCAGAAUGAAAUAAAACCAUUUAUUGAUACAGUGCUUUAUGAUUUUUUCAAAGUUUAUUAUAUGCAUAAGUCAUUUAUUUGGGAAAGUUGAAUACCAUGUGGUAUGUGAUAGGGAUAGAAAGAUAGUAAGAUUCCCGUUCUUUGAAGAAGUGAGGGAGGCACACAUAGAAAAAUAAUCCAUAAUGCAUGAUUAAAUGCUAUAGUAAAGCUACUUACAAAGGGUUUUGAGAAUACAGAGGAAUAACUGAUUAACUUCCUCUGGAAGUCAAGAUCGAAAUAAUUCACUGAAAAGGUGAUCUUUAGUAAUUUAACAAAAUGAGCAAGGGAUAAGGACAGGAGGAACAUAAAUGAGGCCAGGAAAACUGGAAAGUGUGUUGUACCUUCACACAAGGUCAAGCAGUAGAAUAGGAGAGUGUAAUGUAAGGUACAUGGUAUUGAGAAGUAGGGGAAAUUAUGUCUGAGUUAAAGCUAUUUGGGACCAGAAUGAUGAUGAUUAUUGUUAUUACUAUUUUAUUGUGGUAAAACAUCUGUAACAAAAUUUACUAUUUUUACCAUUUUAAGUGUAUAAUUUAGUGGCAUUAAGUACAUUCACGAUGUUGCGUAACCAUGAUUACUACCAUCUAUUUCUAGAACUUUUUCACUAUCCCAAACCAAGCAAAACCUCUACCUAUUAAGCAGUAAUUCCCAUUGCCCUUCCCUCCAGCCUGUGGUAACCUCUAUUGUAGUUUCUGUGUCUAUGAAUUUGUCUAUUCUAGAUACCUCAUAUAGGUGGAUUAUACAAUAUUUGUCCUUUUGUAUCUGGCUUAUUUCACCUGGCAUAAUGUUUUCAAGAUUUGUUUAUGUCGUAGCAUGUAUCAGAACUUCAUUCCUCUUUAUGGCUGAAUAGUAUUUUAUUGUAUUGUUUAUACCAUGUUUUGUUUUUCAUUCAUCUGUUGAUGAACACUUGAGUUGUUCCCCUCUUUCAGUUAUUGUGAGUAAUGCCUCUAUAAACGGUGGUGUACAAGUU